rnacentral:rRNA from 1 species
UGCAGUCGAGCGGAACGAUGUAGCUUGCUACAGGCGUCGAGCGGCGGACGGGUGAGUAACGCGUAGGAACCUACCUAGUAGUUUGGGAUAGCCCAGAGAAAUUUGGAUUAAUACCGAAUACGCCCCACGGGGGAAAGCGGAGGAUCUUCGGACUUCGCGCUAUUAGAUGGGCCUGCGUAAGAUUAGCUUGUUGGUGAGGUAAUGGCUCACCAAGGCAACGAUCUUUAGCUGGUUUGAGAGGAUGAUCAGCCACACUGGGACUGAGACACGGCCCAGACUCCUACGGGAGGCAGCAGUGGGGAAUAUUGCACAAUGGGCGAAAGCCUGAUGCAGCCAUACCGCGUGUGUGAAGAAGGCUCUAGGGUUGUAAAGCACUUUCAGUAGGGAGGAAAGGUUGUAGAUUAAUACUCUGCAGCUGUGACGUUAGCUACAGAAGAAGGACCGGCUAACUCCGUGCCAGCAGCCGCGGUAAUACGGAGGGUCCGAGCGUUAAUCGGAGUUACUGGGCGUAAAGCGUACGUAGGUGGUUUGUUAAGUUGGAUGUGAAAGCCCAGGGCUCAACCUUGGAGCUGCAUUCAAAACUGAUGAACUA